AUUUGCGACCUAAUGCUAGCGGGCACUCAACCAGUGAAUGCUCCACAGCAGGAAGUGCAUGCUGACAUCACAGAGGAAAAACCAUACAGACAGGUUCAUCUUGGACCCAAUGCGAGGAAGGAGACGAGGACAGAAAUACUGGAGGGAGAUAUGGUGGCCACCUACCGCGAGGCGUAUAGCACACAAUGACCACAGAUAGGACAAGGACAAGAUGUGGACAAGGUCAGG